rnacentral:rRNA from 1 species
UACGUAGGGGGCGAGCGUUGUCCGGAAUUACUGGGCGUAAAGGGCGCGUAGGCGGCGCUUCAAGUCGUCUGUCAAAUGGGAGGGCUUAACCCUUUUUCGCAGACGAAACUGGAGAGCUUGAGAAGCAGAGAGGCAAACAGAAUUCCUGGUGUAGCGGUGAAAUGCGUAGAUAUCAGGAAGAAUACCAGUGGCGAAGGCGGUUUGCUGGCUGCAUACUGACGCUGAAGCGCGAAAGCCAGGGGAGCAAACGGGAUUAGAUACCCCGGUAGUCCUGGCAGUAAACGAUGUAUGCUGGGUGUGAGACUAGCGAUAGUUUCGUGCCGAAGUUAACGCGAUAAGCAUACCGCCUGGGGAGUACGGUCGCAAGAUUGAAACUCAAAUGAAUUGGCGGGG